CUUCCUCAGUCCCCUCACAUUUCUUAUCUUCCCCAUUCUUCCCUUCCUACCUCCUCCUCUGUUGCCACACGCUAGAUCCCCCAUCCACAGCCGGCACUCUCUGGUGGGCGCCCCUCCCAUUCGUCACCAUUGUCGGCGGACACAUAGGCCCAUGCUCUUCCCUGCCCCGCCCCUUCUUCAUAUCCGAUCCCCGAAGUGCUCGAGGAGGCGCUCGAGCUCGGCAUGCUCGCCGGCGACACCGGGGCCCUCCCUCCUCCUGAUGCACUCUCCGUCGCCGCCAUGAGCGUCUCCACCUUCUCCCGCGCGCCGUGAAUCCUCCCUCCCCCCUGCUCGAGACGCCAUCAAGGUCCGGUUCCAACUCUUCUUCUCCCCUCGAUCCGGAUGCUCUGCUCUCCGACACCAUCUUUUUGCUUGUUCGAUUCAGUCUGGAGCAGGAGCAGCUGCUGCUCGCGACCUCUAGUUCCUUCUUUCCAUGGAUGUGCUGCUGCUCGGGGCCCUCCCUAUGCUUCUCCUCGCUCGUACGGGUCCAGGGUUAGCUGCUCAGGGGACAUGGUGUGUUCCGUGUGGCGCUGCCUUCGCGGCAGCCGCCGUUGUUGUGUCUCGUGUGUCGCGGCAGCCAAUGGGUCGGGAAGGUCUGAGACUGGAGGUCCCUGCUCGCCAACUCACAGACGCCCUGAAUGGUUCAGAUUUUUUGAAGGAGAAGGAGGUGCGAAAGGGGAUGGGAGCAACAAGUCUGAAUCGAAGAGAACUGAUAGCAUGUCCUGCCAUGAGGAAUUUGAAGCGGUCAGAAGACAUAAGAGCCGGGUCCUAAACUAUGUUAAGGCCAUGCUGAUGUGUAAGAGUUUGCGGGUGACAUCCUCCAUGGCAAUCAUAUUCCCUCCAACAUCCUUCAGGCCAUGGCGACCAGGUCAAAGAAGUCGAACCUGAAGAAGUGCAGGGAAGAAUUAUGGUUGCGUGUGGCUGGCUGGUUCAGGGGAAUUUCAGGGCGGGCGCGGCGGCACGGGUGCCGGAGCAGGCUCCUAGGCACUGGCGAUCUGUCGGACGGAUAUUAGAAACGAAGGUGAAGGAGGAGCGGCCGCCCACUCGACGGUGCGGUGUAGGGCGGCGAGGGAGGCCGGCAGGGAGGCCUCAAUGCGGUGCAGGACGGCGAGGGAACCGUCCAGCGAGGCGACGAUGCGAUGCAGGGGUCCAGGCCGCCGUGCAGGGAGGCGACAUGACUGCUGAGCUUCGUCUGGGGCGGUGGCGAGGAAAGGCAGGGAGUGGGGCCAGGGACACGAUUAGGUUCGAUUUCCUUUUUUUGCGAGUUGGUUAGAUGGUUAGAUUAGCGUGAUUUGAGGGGCUGCGGAUGCGGGACGGAGAGUUUCAUAUUUUCCUCUUGUGGAGUAUGGUCAGUCUAUUGAAACUGCUAAGCGCACACCAGAUCUUGAAUAAAUUAAUGAUGACUGUUGGAUUGGGUCGUGUGGGCUUCA